GCAAGUCGAACGCUCCCUUUGGGGAGAGUGGCGGACGGGUGAGUAACGCGUGGGAAUAUACCUUAUGGUACGGGACAACCACUGGAAACGGUGGCUAAUACCGUAUGAUGUCUUCAUUCAUUUGGAGACCAAAGAUUUAUCGCCAUAAGAUUGGCCCGCGUUAGAUUAGCUAGUUGGUAAGGUAAUGGCUUACCAAGGCGACGAUCUAUAGCUGGUUUGAGAGGAUGAUC
rnacentral:rRNA from 1 species